rnacentral:misc_RNA from 1 species
CAGAGUUCAUGCCCUUCGGGGUAGACCUCCCACCCUAUGUAUACAUUGCCUUUGUUGCUUUGGCGGACCGCCUUUUGGCCACCGGCCCCGGCUGGUGCGUGUCCGCCAGAGAACCCCAAACCCUGUUUUACAGUGUCGUCCGAGUACUAUAUAAUAGUUA